GGAUGUAUGACUAAGAAUGGUAACUGACAAACUGACAGUUGUAAGCGAAUAGAGGUUAGCUAUACUUUGUGACAGGGGCUAAAAAGCUGUUUUGACAGCUUCUACACAAUGAGAAUGUUUUUUUCCGUUAUACUUAAUCUGUUAAUCUAGAAAUUUAAUGUAAUUUUGACGAUUCAUAUAUAAAACACAAUUAUUUUAAUAGGACCAAUCUUAGGACCAAUCUAGUUUCUCUUAUCCUAUGACUUUGGUUUAACGGUUGGCAGUAAAAUGUCAUCAACAUGUAAAUGGAAACUUUUGUGGCGUAUCUUUCUAAAUUUGUGGUUUUAUCUUUUUUUUUUUUUUUUAUACAAACAACUCAUCUUAUUAUAAUCUCAUUAUCAUAGGAUCAUUACAGGUUGUCAUACCAAAACAUACUGGAAAAAGAUGCUAUAUCAUAUCUAUGACCAUAAUAAAUGGACGUGAGAUUUAUUUUUGAUGUAAUGAUCUAAAAAUGCAUAGUGUAGACAAGCAGUUUGUGGGUUAUUCAAAGCUUGACUAUUUUGGGGUUUGGGGUGAGGAGCACACACACAUUCACACACUUCUUUGGCAGCUGACUAUGACCUCUUCUGCCCCACAGUCUAACAGAUUCAACCACACACACACCCUGGCACACACAUUCAAGUGUUUUUUGCUCCAGUUGCCUUCUUUAAUGACUUCAACAUGGGCCUGCCAGUAUUUUUUAUUUUAGCAAUGGUUCUGAAUUUUGCUCACAGCAGGGACAUGCAAGAUUCAGAGACCAGAGACUUGGAUCUUGACCAAACAGUGACUGGGAUUUUGGGGGCGGAUGUCUACUUGCAUUGUCUGUACACUGGACAAAGUAGCAUAUUGUUCUCCUCCUGGAACCGUAUCGAUUCUUCAAACAAGGCAAAGAAAAUGGCAGGCUACAAAUCCAGUGCCAAAUCUUUCGCAAGAGAAAACUUUGACAUCCCAGCAUCAAUUACAAACCUUACUGUAAAGGUGAACGUAACAAGUUUUGAUCAAGAGGGAGAAUACACAUGUGUCUUUGACUCUGAUGAGGAUGAAACAAAGGAAACCAUGUUUCUUAGUGUUAUUGUGCCAAGCCUGAGGCUGUGAUUAGAUGGGAGAUCUCUGGUGCCCUUCCAAAAGACGACAUCUUCUCUGUGAACAUGAUUAAUCCGGUUCAUCCCAAUGGCACAACCAGUUCAAUCAGUGUACUUCGCUUCCCCCUAAUUAUGAAUAAUGAGAGCACUGUUACCUGUGUGGUUGAGCAUCCAGCUUUUACUGAACCCAAAAGAGCCAACAUAGAGGUGGACACAUUUGGUAAGUCCUGUUCUGUAGCGUUAUUAGGAAAAGCCAGGGAGUGUAAGAC
rnacentral:lncRNA from 1 species